rnacentral:rRNA from 1 species
GGCUUUUUGAGUAUAAUUUAAGGUCGGGCCUGCCCAAUGAUUAAUUAAAUGGCCGCGGUAUAUUGACCGUGCAAAGGUAGCAUAAUCAUUAGUUUUUUAAUUGAAAGCUUGUAUGAAGGGUUUAAUGAAAAAAAUACUGUCUCUGUUUAAGUUUAUUAGAAUUUUAUAUUUAAGUAAAAAAGCUUAAAUUUAUAUUGAAGACGAGAAGACCCUAUAGAGUUUAAUAUUUUGUGCAGUAAUUAGUUAUUUAGAAUUUUAAAGAUUUGUUGUAUAAAGUAUUUAAUUGGGGUGAUUGAAAAAUUAAUUAAACUUUUUUUUUAUUUUUACAUUGAUUAAUGAAUUUAUGAUCCUUUAGUUAAGAUUAAAAGAUACAAUUACCUUAGGGAUAACAGCGUAAUUUUUUUUAGAGUUCUUAUCGAAAGAAAAGAUUGCGACCUCGAUGUUGGAUUAAAAUGAAUUAUUGGUGUAGAAGCUAAUAAAUUAGGUCUGUUCGACCUUUAAAUUUUUACAUGAUCUGAGUUUAAACCGGUGUAAG